AUUGAACGCUGGCGGCAGGCUUAACACAUGCAAGUCGAGCGAGCGGCGGACGGGUGAGUAAUGUCUGGGACACUGCCUGAUGGAGGGGGAUAACUACUGGAAACUGUAGCUAAUACCGCAUACCAGCAGAUGGGCCAAGAUGGGAUUAGCUAGUAGGUGGGGUAAUGGCUCACCUAGGCGACGAGCCCUAGCUGGUCUGAGAGGAUGACCAGCAACACUGGAACGGAGACACGGUCCAGACUCCUAAGGGAGGCAGCAGUGGGGAAUAUUGGACAAUGGGCGCAAGACGGAUGUAGCCAUGCCGCGUGUGUGAAGAAGGUCUUCGGGUUGUAAAGCACUUGCAGCGAGGAGGCGUUACUCGCAGAAGAAGCACCGGCUAACUCCGUGCCAGCCGCCGCGGUAAUAC
rnacentral:rRNA from 1 species